rnacentral:rRNA from 1 species
UACGUAGGGUGCGAGCGUUAAUCGGAAUUACUGGGCGUAAAGCGCGCGCAGGCGGUCUUCCAAGUCAGUGGUGAAAGCCCGGAGCUCAACUCCGGAACUGCACUGGAUACUGCUCCGCUAGAGUACUGGAGAGGAAACUGGAAUUUACGGUGUAGCAGUGAAAUGCGUAGAGAUCGUAAGGAAGACCAGUGGCGAAGGCGAGUUUCUGGACAGUUACUGACGCUGAGGCACGAAGGCCAGGGGAGCAAACGGG